AUUGCUCUGCAGCUGAACCAGCCCCUCGCAGCGCUGCAGGAAUGCGACUGUGUGAUCCGGAGGAUGUGCUCGGCUCGGGGGGAUCAGCUUACAGGCAUGUGAGCGACCGGCCGGCCUUCUCGUCGACGCUGAAAACUCGUCCAAAGGAAAACAAAAGUGAAAUCCAAGCAGGAACGGCGGGGGUGAAGAAGGAAUGUGUCUUUAUCAUUAAACCAGAAGACGGAGUGGAGCGAGGAAACGCAGCGCUGGAGGUCGGAGGUCGAGUCCUUGUUAUGGACGCUCCAUUAAAGUCUGCGAUUCAGGGAGACACAGCUGUCCCAUUUCUGGCCCAGUUUCAACAUUCCUUUGCCGUUCAAGUGUUCAAAACAUCCAGAUCUGUGUACAGUGAAGAGUGUUCGUGUACUUCUAUCGCUGUGUGAUAUGCGGUAUGUCCAUAAACUGCAUUAUGCACAUGUUUACUGGCCGUUUUCUGCUGCCUACACAUGCUAACAGUCAUGCUAUGUGGGCCAGAGCGUGUUUGACGUCCAGCGAUAUCAGAAAGUUCUGUGUGGGAGCAAGAAUGAACACAUAAAGGCGACCCGAGAUAACAAACCUCUGAAUAGCCCAGACUGGCCGAGACACAAAAAAGCAUGUUUGCUCUCCGAAUGCUUGUCUUCGCUUGACGUACUUUGUUGGUGUCCAGAAGACCGAGGCGCCAGAAACUAAGUCCAAAGGAAACUAAGUGGGAGAUAAUCGCCAACGCAGGGCAACCUGGAGCGAGUAAAAUUAAAACUACACAUCACUUCUGAGAAAAAAACACAGAAAAACACAGUCAGACAAAAGAAAAAUAACCUUAGCAGCCAUAACUGGAUGCUAGGCCUGUCAGGGUUGGGAUGUUUCUGCUUUAAACUCCUAAAAACCCUUCUAUUAAAGAAUCCUAGAUGUGCAGAUCUAUGAAGUGUUCCUUCAGCUCUCCUACAGCUCUCCUCAAACACUAUAAAACAACUCCAGCUACACCAUGACAAGAUGUAAUAUUGAAAUAAUCCAACAAGACAUCAUUAAAACAAUGCCUAAAGAAGAACAAAAAUGCAGUUGACCCAAUUGGUUCUUUUGAUUUGUGAGAUAUGAAACCUCUACCAAUCUGAACCUGUGUUUCAUUUUUCUCAUGUUGUGUCUCCCAGCAUUUUAAAAACACCAUACAGACAAAGUCAAACAUGGUUCCAGUAGUGUUUCCUCUUGUCUUAUACAAGCAGGAUCUCAAAGCAGUCUUAAUAUUUCCUUUUUUGCAGAUGAUGUGGUUCUGUUUGUUUCAUCAGACCGUGAUCUUCAGCAUACACUGAGACAGGAUGAGAGUCAUCAACUCCAAAUCUGAGGCCACGGUUCUCUUAUGGAAACUAGUGGAUUGUUCCCUCAGGACUGGAGUUGAGUUCCUGUCCCAAACAAUAAAGUUUCGUCAUCUUCUUAAGGCAUUGUGUUGACAAGAGAUGAGAAAAAGGAGAGCGAGACAAAGAAAUCGAUUGGUGGAGCAUCAGUGGUAAUGGCAUUGUGCUGGCCCUCAUCUAAGAUCAUGAGCGAGCAUCAAGUCUACAGAAACUUGAGCAAAAACUGAACCAGCAACUGUCAGAUAUGUAGUUAUGCUAGCAUGCUAACAUUAGCAUAACACUUUAUAAUGUAAACUGAUUGACUUCAGCAUGGUUACCAUUCUACAUAUACAGGGCAAUGAACAUAAUAGUACUAGAACUACAGUAUGCAAACCAGCAUCUGGAUUGAGCUGCUAUCUUUAGCUUAUGCAGCUAAUUAGCUUAGCUACAGUUAGAACUGCUGGUGUUGUUUCAAAGGCUAAAGACUGUUUCAUUCAUCAGCUACAUCAUUUACGGUGCAAUUUCUCCUGCAUGUGAACAGAUAAUUACAAGUCUAUGGAAAAUAUUCUUACAGAUUUCUUGAGCUGUUGCAUAAUAUUAAGAAACCCUAAAUUUGGUAUUAAUAAAGUUGACCUACAUUAGUAAGAAAAACUUGCAUGAAUAAACUGCAGGUUCUGGUUAGUUGUCAUACGUUUUGAGUUAAAAUUCAUCAUAUGAUAAUAAUAUUAUACACAGUAUGUACACCAGUGGAGGAUUGAAUAGGGAAAAGUUUGAAAGUCCAGUUUGAAUUUGUAUAGAAUUACCAAAGUACUACGUAGUUCUGGUAGCAUGCUCGCAUAAUUUCAACAUGACUGCCAUGCUACCUGUAUGGGACAGUUAACAAUAGUAGUACUAGAACUGUAGUUUAAAGACCAGUACCUGGCUUGAGAAGCUAACUUUUGCUUGCAUAGCUCAUUAGCUUAGCUACAGUUAGACCUCCAGUGUUGUUUCAAAGGCUAAAGGCCGUUUCAUUCAUCAGCUACAUCAUUUAUAGUGCAAUUUCUCCUGCAUGUCAACAGAUAAUUACAAGUGUGUGGAAAAUAUUCUUACAGAUUUCUUUAGCUGUUGCAUAAUAUGAAAAAACAUACGAAACCCUAUAAACCGUAUUAAUAAAGUUGACCUACAUUAGAAAGAAAAAUUCUUUUCCAUUGAACAACAUAUUGAAAAAACAUCUCAAAGAAGAAACUGCAGGUUCUGGUUUGUUGUCAUUAUUUUUGGUCAAAAAUAGGAGCUUGCAUUUGUAUAUAAUUACCAAACUACAAAGUAAAGUGAUGUACUUGCAGGGAGACAGUGAUGAUUUCAUUAGUUAACAAAGGCAUUUUGCUGGUUACGGCUUUUGGUUUUUACAUGGUUCUUGUGCAGAAGCUUUUCUAAGCGAACAGCAGCAUCCUGACGAUGCAGAACAUUAACGCAGAAACCAAAUAUCUGAGUGCAGACAAACAGUUCAGAGGAGAAGAGCAGAUUUCUGUCCGACUGGGGGAUGUUGGAGGGUUUCGAGGGAAACAUUACAACAUGUGAAAUGAAGAAAUAAGAUCUCUGCAAUUGAAAGACCAUGUUUCUGAUUUACAGACAGAAAAGCCACUCAGCGCUGUCCUUUGAGUAUUUAUUCUGAGUUUGCUUUCUGCUUGUUGCUCGGUGAUUCUUUUGACUUCUGCUAUUGGACGUUUGCCUGUUUUUUUCAUGGAUUCUGCAGCAGCAUGUUGUUUAUUCCCCCGUUAGCCUCUGUUAGUUACAUCAGGAAGUUUCAAUAAAGUUCAUCCUAAUUCUGUUAAA